AUCGUCUUUCAAAUCACCAAUGCAGGUCUCAAAAAAAUUUACCUUCUUCCACGGCUCUGAAGCAGGGGUCUCAGGCACAAAAUCGGAUUCUGGUGCCUAAGAAUAGGACACUUCCGAGGUCCAAAUACACUAAUUUGCUUAGCCAAAAACAUAUGUCUGCUGGUGAUUGUGUUAAUGGGACUAAAAAAUAUGUUGCUUUAAAUAGAAAUUUAUGCUUUAUGCAAUCGCAUGCAGCUAAGAAUGCACCAUAAAGUACUAGUUAAUCUUAAAUGUGACUCAAGGAGGUAUACUUAUGCCAAGCAAGAAGAUUCCUCAUCACGGUUGAGGACCCCACUUCUAAAGAGGAGGCUGAAGAAUUUUACUUCUCAGGUUGAUGGUACAGGUAUCCACAAUUAAUCAAAUAGAAAACAAAGAACAAUUAGUGGCAAUGUAAACGAGAGGAAAAGGGGGAUCUAAAAGCAUGUUCUGUGAACAAGAACCAUAUCAAGAGUGAGAGUCCCAAUCUAGAUGAAAGUGAUACAAAUGUUGGUGAUAAAGGCACCAGUAUAGUUUCUUUCAUGUUUAGUUCCCCAGUGAGGCACAGGACUUGCUCUUCCUCCCCUGCAGACGUGAAGGACAAGUACAAGGGUCAAAAUGAGUUCAUGAGCAAAUGUAAAUCCCAGAAAAAGCAAUUAUUUGGUGCAAGCGAUGAAGACACUUCUGAUAAGGCAGUGCCAUUAAAUGAGAUGCUCUGUGUGCAUUGCCGGAACAAAAGCUAAGGUGACAUGUCAAGAUGGGGGAUGAGCUGCCUAUUUCAGAAAAAUCUACUGCUUCAAUCCUCGAAGAGCUGAUAUCUGCCCUAACUGCAGAAAGGACAGUUUCUCAAGAUGAAGACCACCCUUUGGUUGGAUUUCACAAGAACAGUUCGUGCAACAUAAAUUCAGAUCUCUCUGGUCAUGUAUCUUCACAUGGCAGAAGCAGAAGCAGUCAGAGUUUCAGUUGGCUUGGCUCAUUCUGGGGAUGAGGAACAUGCUAGCCCUUUGUAAGUUCUUGAAGCUUCUUUCUCGAAUGAUACUUGUCUCUCUGACAGUCUUGAUGGUGGCUCAGGAUGUAAGAUGCAGCAGAAGCCCAUGGAUUGCUUCUAUGACCUACAUCAGAUAUCAGGUUUUGAUGCUGAUCUUUUGGAUUCUGCUACCUCUUUCAGCAGAGGGAGUGCUGGAAGUGAGGAGCUGACGAAUUCCUUUCUGCUCCAUUUCCAAGAUAUUAGACAGUAUAGGCCUUGCUGACAUUGGACUAGAUGGAGACAAAGUCAACCAUGCCAGGGAGAUUUUACCGAAUGCUGAAUUUUUGUUUGGAAAUGAUUCUCCUGGUGCUGGUAACGAAGACUUCAUUCUAGGCCCUAUUUUCCUUGAGGAAUUGGAGAUUCUUUUUUAUGUACUUACUAGAAGUUCCGACUGCAGAUUGUGUUUCAUGCAAGCCAAAGAGGGGUACCAAGUAAACGAGGAAGUUCAUUUUUGACUGUAUGAUAGAAUGCUUGGACUUGAAAUAUGGCUACUUCUGUAAAAUGGGUUUCCGAAAGUGGAAGGAAAUGUGAUCUGGUCUGAGGAGAGAGUUUUUUUU